GUGGGGCUGAGGGUGACCCCGCGGGCGGGGACCGAGGCAAGGGGGGGGCACGCUGGGCGCGUGGAGUGGGCCCCCCGCGCUGGCCUGAAGGUGCUGGCAGGCCCCGCUGCGUGACCCCAAGGGGACAAGAGGGAUUCCCUCUUCCUCCGCCCCCGAGAAGCCGGGCGGGAGAAAAAUCUCUAGGGUUGCCCGAGUUUCCCUCCUGGAGCCUGGAAGCCUUCCAGUCUAGACGGGGUGAGGAAAAGCCGCUGGCUGGCUACCCAGGAACCGGGGGGAGGGCAUCCUCCUCCGUGCUGGGAAGGAGGCAGGCCCUUUCUUCUCUGGUGGCGCUGCUUGAAGACGGGGCUGCUGGGAGUGCACUCCGUGCAUUCUCAGAGGCAUUUUCUAUGGAGGUUCUGUUUCCAAGAAACACAAGAAGAAGAAAGAAAGAAAAUCUUUGCUAGCUGAAGAUGUUGCUGACAUUCAAUACUCAGAAGAAUUCUUUAUCAAGCCUGAAUCCAGAGUGGCUCAGCUGGACACAUCACAGUG